rnacentral:lncRNA from 1 species
AUGGUGGAUCGUAUUCGUCUUCUCCCAUAUCAAUAACCUGAAAGUCUGUGUAGACAAAAUGAUCGUCUAUUUUGACUGGGACAUCAGUUACUGUUCCUUUAACUUCUCGAAAUGUCUGAUCUGCCAUCUGGAGCUGAAUGUAUGUUGGUUUCACGGGCAUGGUUCCGAACAAGAGCUGAUAAGUGACUGCGGCCAUUAUGUUGACGUU